rnacentral:rRNA from 1 species
AUUGAACGCUGGCGGCAUGCUUUACACAUGCAAGUCGAACGGCAGCGCGGGGCAACCUGGCGGCGAGUGGCGUACGGGUGAGUAAUAUAUCAGAACGUACCCAGAAGUGGGGGAUAACGUAGCGAAAGUUACGCUAAUACCGCAUACGAUCUACGGAAGAUAGUAGGGGAACGCAAGGCCUUAUGCAUUUGGAGCGGCCGAUAUCUGAUUAGCUAGUUGGUGAGGUAAAGGCUCACCAAGGCGACGAUCAGUAGCUGGCCUGAGAGGACGACCAGCCACACUGGACCUGGGACACGGUCCAGACUCCUACGGGAGGCAGAGGUGGGGAAUUUUGGCCAAUGAGCGAAAGCCUGAUCCAGCAAUGCCGCGUGGGUGAAGCAGGCCUUCGGGUUGUAAAGCUCUUUUGUCAGGGAAGAAACGGUAGAGGCUAAUAUCCUUUGCUAAUGACGGUACCUGAAUAAUAAGCACCGGCUAACUACGUG